rnacentral:rRNA from 1 species
ACCGGCAGCUCAAGUGGUGGCCAUUUUUAUUGGGCCUAAAGCGUUCGUAGCCGGUUUGAUAAGUCUCUGGUGAAAUCCCGCAGCUUAACUGUGGGACUUGCUGGAGAUACUAUUAGACUUGAGGUCGGGAGAGGUUAGGGGUACUCCCAGGGGAGGGGUGAAAGCCAAUAAUCCUGGGAGGACCACCUGGGGCGAAGGCGCCUAACUGGAACGAACCUGAGUGUGAGUAACGAAAGCCAGGGACGUGAACCA